CCCUGGGUGGUGCAAACGGUUAACACUCUUGGCUGCUAACCGAAAGGUUGGUGGUUCAAGUCCACUUAGAGGUG
rnacentral:tRNA from 1 species